AUCCAAAGCCGCAACUAAAAUAGCAAAGAUUAAGCCGCCAAUCACUGGUGCUGG
rnacentral:sRNA from 1 species